CGUAGGGUGCGAGCGUUAAUCGGAAUUACUGGGCGUAAAGCGUGCGCAGGCGGUUAUGAAAGACAGGCGUGAAAUCCCCGGGCUUAACCUGGGAACUGCGUUUGUGACUCCAUGACUCGAGUACGGCAGAGGGGGGUGGAAUUCCACGUGUAGCAGUGAAAUGCGUAGAGAUGUGGAGGAACACCGAUGGCGAAGGCAGCCCCCUGGGCCAGUACUGACGCUCAUGCACGAAAGCGUGGGGAGCAAACAGGAUUAGAUACCCUGGUAGUCCACGCCCUAAACGAUGUCAACUAGUUGUUGGUAGGGUAAAACCUAUUAGUAACGGAGCUAACGCGUGAAGUUGACCGCCUGGGGAGUACGGCCGCAAGGUUA
rnacentral:rRNA from 1 species